UCAGGAUGAACGCUGGCGGCGUGCCUAAUACAUGCAAGUCGAGCGAACGGACGAGAAGCUUGCUUCUCUGAUGUUAGCGGCGGACGGGUGAGUAACACGUGGAUAACCUACCUAUAAGACUGGGAUAACUUCGGGAAACCGGAGCUAAUACCGGAUAAUAUUUUGAACCGCAUGGUUCAAAAGUGAAAGACGGUCUUGCUGUCACUUAUAGAUGGAUCCGCGCUGCAUUAGCUAGUUGGUAAGGUAACGGCUUACCAAGGCAACGAUGCAUAGCCGACCUGAGAGGGUGAUCGGCCACACUGGAACUGAGACACGGUCCAGACUCCUACGGGAGGCAGCAGUAGGGAAUCUUCCGCAAUGGGCGAAAGCCUGACGGAGCAACGCCGCGUGAGUGAUGAAGGUCUUCGGAUCGUAAAACUCUGUUAUUAGGGAAGAACAUAUGUGUAAGUAACUGUGCACAUCUUGACGGUACCUAAUCAGAAAGCCACGGCUAACUACGUGCCAGCAGCCGCGGUAAUACGUAGGUGGCAAGCGUUAUCCGGAAUUAUUGGGCGUAAAGCGCGCGUAGGCGGUUUUUUAAGUCUGAUGUGAAAGCCCACGGCUCAACCGUGGAGGGUCAUUGGAAACUGGAAAACUUGAGUGCAGAAGAGGAAAGUGGAAUUCCAUGUGUAGCGGUGAAAUGCGCAGAGAUAUGGAGGAACACCAGUGGCGAAGGCGACUUUCUGGUCUGUAACUGACGCUGAUGUGCGAAAGCGUGGGGAUCAAACAGGAUUAGAUACCCUGGUAGUCCACGCCGUAAACGAUGAGUGCUAAGUGUUAGGGGGUUUCCGCCCCUUAGUGCUGCAGCUAACGCAUUAAGCACUCCGCCUGGGGAGUACGACCGCAAGGUUGAAACUCAAAGGAAUUGACGGGGACCCGCACAAGCGGUGGAGCAUGUGGUUUAAUUCGAAGCAACGCGAAGAACCUUACCAAAUCUUGACAUCCUUUGACAACUCUAGAGAUAGAGC
rnacentral:rRNA from 1 species